GCCAGACUCCUACGGGAGGCAGCAGUGAGGAAUAUUGGUCAAUGGGCGCAAGCCUGAACCAGCCAAGUCGCGUGAGGGAUGACGGUCCUAUGGAUUGUAAACCUCUUUUGUCGGGGAGCAAGGCCCGCCACGUGUGGCGGGAAGGAGAGGACCCGAAGAAAAAGCAUCGGCUAACUCCGUGCCAGCAGCCGCGGUAAUACGGAGGAUGCGAGCGUUAUCCGGAUUUAUUGGGUUUAAAGGGUGCGCAGGCGGUCUGUUAAGUCAGCGGUCAAAGCCCGGGGCUCAACCCCGGUCCGCCGUUGAAACUGGCAGUCUCGAGUUGGAGAGAAGUAUGCGGAAUGCGCGGUGUAGCGGUGAAAUGCAUAGAUAUCGCGCAGAACUCCGAUUGCGAAGGCAGCAUGCCGGCUCCACACUGACGCUGAGGCACGAAAGCGUGGGUAUCGAACAGGAUUAGAUACCCCAGUAAU
rnacentral:rRNA from 1 species